ensembl:snoRNA
AGCCUAUGAUGGUUUCAAUAUAAGAGUAGUGGACAGAAGUGAUUUCUGAAAACUCCAUGCUGAGGCU